GUCCCUCCAUUCUCAUUCAGUAGUUAUGGUCCUGGCUGUCAUGGUUCACUAGUUAUGGUCCCUCCAUUCUCAUUCAGCUGUUAUGGGCCUGGCUGGCAUGGUUCAGUAGUUAUGGUACUGGCUGGCAUGGUUCAGUAGUUAUGGUCCCUCCAUUCUCAUUCAGUAGUUAUGGUCCUGGCUGUCAUGGUUCAGUAGUUAUGGUCCCUUCAUUCUCAUUCAGUAGUUAUGGUCCUGGCUGACAUUGUUCAGUAGUUAUGGUCCCUCCAUUCUCAUUCAGUAGUUAUGGUACUGGCUGACAUUGUUCAGUAGUUAUGGUCCCUCCAUUCUCAUUCAGUAGUUAUGGUCCUGGCUGACAUGGUCCCUCCAUUCUCAUUCAGUAGUUAUGGUCCCUCCAUUCUCAUUCAGUAGUUAUGGUCCUGGCUGACAUGGUCCCUCCAUCCUCAUUCAGUAGUUAUGGUCCCUCCAUUCUCAUUCAGUAGUUAUGGUCCCUCCAUUCUCAUUCAGUACUUAUGGUCCUGGCUGACAUGGUUCAGUAGUUAUGGUCCCUCCAUUCUCAUUCAGUAGUUAUGGUCCCUCCAUGAUCAUUCAGUAGUUAUGGUCCUGGCUGGCAUGGUUCAGUAGUUAUGAUCCCUCCAUUCUCAUUCAGUAGUUAUGGUCCUGGCUGGCAUGGUUCAGUAGUUAUGAUCCCUCCAUUCUCAUUCAGUAGUUAUGGUCCUGGCUGACAUGGUUCAGUAGUUAUGGUCCUGGCUGGCAUGGUUCAGUAGUUAUGGUCCCUCCAUUCUCAUUCAGUAGUUAUGGUCCUGGCUGGCAUGGUUCAGUAGUUAUGGUCCUGGCUGGCAUGGUUCAGUAGUUAUGGUCCCUCCAUUCUCAUUCAGUAGUUAUGGUCCUGGCUGGCAUGGUUCAGUAGUUAUGGUCCCUCCAUUCUCAUUCAGUUGUUAUGGGCCUGGCUGGCAUGGUUCAGUAGUUAUGGUCCCUCCAUUCUCAUUCAGUAGUUAUGGGCCUGGCUGACAUGGUUCAGUAGUUAUGGUCCCUCCAUUCUCAUUCAGUAGUUAUGGUCCUGGCUGGCAUGGUUCAGUAGUUAUGAUCCCUCCAUUCUCAUUCAGUAGUUAUGGUCCAGGCUGGCAUGGUUCAGUAGUUAUGGUCCCUCCAUUCUCAUUCAGUAGUUAUGGGCCUGGCUGGCAUGGUUCAGCAGUUAUGGGCCUGGCUGGCAUGGUUCAGUAGUUAUGAUCCCUCCAUUCUCAUUCAGCUGUUAUGGGCCUGGCUGGCAUGGUUCAGUAGUUAUGGGCCUGGCUGGCAUGGUUCAGUAGUUAUGGUCCCUCCAUUCUCAUUCAGUAGUUAUGGUCCUGGCUGAGAUGGUCCCUCCAUCCUCAUUCAGUAGUUAUGGUCCCUCCAUUCUCAUUCAGUAGUUAUGGUCCUGGCUGUCAUGGUUCACUAGUUAUGGUCCCUCCAUUCUCAUUCAGUAGUUAUGGGCCUGGCUGGCAUGGUUCAGCAGUUAUGGGCCUGGCUGGCAUGGUUCAGUAGUUAUGAUCCCUCCAUUCUCAUUCAGCUGUUAUGGGCCUGGCUGGCAUGGUUCAGUAGUUAUGGUACUGGCUGGCAUGGUUCAGUAGUUAUGGUCCCUCCAUUCUCAUUCAGUAGUUAUGGUCCUGGCUGGCAUGGUUCAGUAGUUAUGGUACUGGCUGGCAUGGUUCAGUAGUUAUGGUCCCUCCAUUCUCAUUCAGUAGUUAUGGUCCUGGCUGUCAUGGUUCAGUAGUUAUGGUCCCUUCAUUCUCAUUCAGUAGUUAUGGUCCUGGCUGACAUUGUUCAGUAGUUAUGGUCCCUCCAUUCUCAUUCAGUAGUUAUGGUACUGGCUGACAUUGUUCAGUAGUUAUGGUCCCUCCAUUCUCAUUCAGUAGUUAUGGUCCUGGCUGACAUGGUCCCUCCAUUCUCAUUCAGUAGUUAUGGUCCUGGCUGACAUGGUUCAGUAGUUAUGGUCCCUCCAUCCUCAUUCAGUAGUUAUGGUCCUGGCUGACAUGGUCCCUCCAUCCUCAUUCAGUAGUUAUGGUCCUGGCUGAGAUGGUCCCUCCAUCCUCAUUCAGUAGUUAUGGUCCCUCCAUUCUCAUUCAGUAGUUAUGGUCCUGGCUGACAUGGUCCCUCCAUUCUCAUUCAGUAGUUAUGGUCCUGGCUGAGAUGGUCCCUCCAUCCUCAUUCAGUAGUUAUGGUCCCUCCAUUCUCAUUCAGUAGUUAUGGUCCUGGCUGUCAUGGUUCACUAGUUAUGGUCCCUCCAUUCUCAUUCAGCUGUUAUGGGCCUGGCUGGCAUGGUUCAGUAGUUAUGGUACUGGCUGGCAUGGUUCAGUAGUUAUGGUCCCUCCAUUCUCAUUCAGUAGUUAUGGUCCUGGCUGUCAUGGUUCAGUAGUUAUGGUCCCUUCAUUCUCAUUCAGUAGUUAUGGUCCUGGCUGACAUUGUUCAGUAGUUAUGGUCCCUCCAUUCUCAUUCAGUAGUUAUGGUACUGGCUGACAUUGUUCAGUAGUUAUGGUCCCUCCAUUCUCAUUCAGUAGUUAUGGUCCUGGCUGACAUGGUCCCUCCAUUCUCAUUCAGUAGUUAUGGUCCCUCCAUUCUCAUUCAGUAGUUAUGGUCCUGGCUGACAUGGUCCCUCCAUCCUCAUUCAGUAGUUAUGGUCCCUCCAUUCUCAUUCAGUAGUUACUGUCCCUCCAUUCUCAUUCAGUACUUAUGGUCCUGGCUGACAUGGUUCAGUAGUUAUGGUCCCUCCAUUCUCAUUCAGUAGUUAUGGUCCCUCCAUGAUCAUUCAGUACUUAUGGUUCUGGCUGGCAUGGUUCAGUAGUUAUGGUCCCUCCAUUCUCAUUCAGUAGUUAUGGUCCUGGCUGGCAUGGUUCAGUAGUUAUGGUCCCUCCAUUCUCAUUCAGUAGUUAUGGUCCCUCCAUUCUCAUUCAGUAGUUAUGGUCCUGGCUGGCAUGGUUCAGUAGUUAUGAUCCCUCCAUUCUCAUUCAGUAGUUAUGGUCCUGGCUGGCAUGGUUCAGUAGUUAUGGUCCCUCCAUGAUCAUUCAGUACUUAUGGUCCUGGCUGGCAUGGUUCAGUAGUUAUGGUCCCUCCAUUCUCAUUCAGUAGUUAUGGUCCUGGCUGGCAUGGUUCAGUAGUUAUGGUCCCUCCAUUCUCAUUCAUUAGUUAUGGUCCUGGCUGGCAUGGUUCAGUAGUUAUGGUCCCUCCAUUCUCAUUCAGUAGUUAUGGGCCUGGCUGACAUGGUUCAGUAGUUAUGGUCCCUCCAUUCUCAUUCAGUAGUUAUGGUCCUGGCUGGCAUGGUUCAGUAGUUAUGGUCCCUCCAUUCUCAUUCAGUUGUUAUGGUCCUGGCUGACAUGGUUCAGUAGUUAUGGUCCCUCCAUUCUCAUUCAGUAGUUAUGGUCCUGGCUGGCAUGGUUCAGUAGUUAUGGUCCCUCCAUUCUCAUUCAGUAGUUAUGGUCCUGGCUGGCAUGGUUCAGUAGUUAUGGUCCCUCCAUUCUCAUUCAGUAGUUAUGGUCCUGGCUGACAUGGUUCAGUAGUUAUGGUCCCUCCAUUCUCAUUCAUUAGUUAUGGUCCUGGCUGACAUGGUUCAGUAGUUAUGGUCCUGGCUGACACUGAGGAUAAUGGUGGAUUCCCAGUGAAUGUUUUAUCUCUCAGUAUAGGAAUGCAGG
rnacentral:lncRNA from 1 species